UCAUAACAAAUGAAUCGGGGGUAGCCUUACGUACCUAAGUAGCUUCCUCAUACUAAAAAGUCGUGCAGAAGAAGAUAACAAUAUAAUUUUUUCAAUAUGUCAAUUCCAGAUUUUCUGUGUUUCUUAAAUGUAUAGUAACAUGGCAGCAGUUUUCAUCUUUAGGGUUCCGUACCCAAACGGGACCCUAUUACUAAGACUCCGCUGUCCGUCCGUCCGUCCGUCUGUCACCAGGCUGUAUCUCAUGAACCGUGAUAGACAGUUGAAAUUUUCAAAGAUGACGUAUUUCUAUUGCCACUAUAACAACAUAGUAUUGUGUUCCUGCCGGUGAGUAAGGUUGCCAGAGCUCAACGAGGGGAAGGAGGGUUGUUAGGCUCGGCAACGCGCAUAUAAUUCCUCUGGAGUUGCAGGCGUACAUAGGCUAUGGAGACUGCUUACCAUCAGGUGGGCCGUAUGCUUGUUUGCCACCAACGUAGUAUAUAAAAAACCAAAUACUAAAAAAAAUACGGAAUCACGUUGGGCGAGUCCGACUCGCCCUUGUCCGGUUUUUGUAUUUAUUCGUAAGCUUGCAUUAAUUGCCAUGGCACUUUAGGCUUAGCUUGUAAGUACAGUUGAGGAAAUUGAUUCUUUAGCAGUUAACGUGUCACGUUACAAUGGACAGCUCUUACCAUAAGUAUGUACAGCCAAAUUUACUUGAACAGCAAGUUGCUAAAGAAUCAAUUUCCGCGACCGUACUAAUAGGAUAUUCUUUGCUAAUAGGUCUAAUAAAUAAUAUGUUGCGGACUCUUUUCUUAAACCUUUUUACUUGUAUACUUUUUACGACAUUUGACGCUGUCAUGUUAUUCAAAUAGUAAAAUAAAUCUGACAAGAGAGAAAAUUGUGAUCUUAUUUACAGAAAGAUACUUAAUGUAUGAAAAAAUAAGCAAAAAUAAGAAUGAAUGUUUUACGACACAAAAAGCGACAUCUGGGAUGGCUCAAGAGUAACACUGGUGUGAGCGGCUCAGGGGUAUCGAGAGGCGUGCACCGCUUUCAACCCAGUGGCUGUAACAGCCACUGUGCCAACUCGCGUCUUGCACUUCCUCCCUUGGAACUUAUAGCUCUAACGACUCCACCCUGGCCGGCCGGCCAAGGCAACCCAGAAGCAGAUAAUCCUGUCCCACCCACCCUCCUUCGAAUGACAGAACUCCCUAGGAACACUCGGGUACGUGAGAUCGUUACUCCCCAACUGCAUGCCACAAGCUGCCCGAAGUUGACUGAUUGCACUGGUAAAAUCAGCGGGCCAUAGAUUAUUAGUUUGCAGUUCCUAAAAGCCAUUGCUGAAAGGAUGUGUAGCUGUCAUAUACAAAAACAAUGGGUAGACAGUCUCAAAGGGUAUGUCUUAUGAUAAAUAGUUUCAUGCCGCAGUAAAAUAAUGUGAUUUGUAGUAUUUAGUUUUAAAAUAUAUUUUUAUAAUGUGUAUGCUAAUCUUAAGGUAUUUAUCUAUGGGCCGCUAGUUGCCUGAAAUAAAUUAUGAUAGAUACACGGAUAGAUGGGGUGUUCUAAGAGAAAGUCGCUUUGAAAAUGCUUUUGUCUUGUAUGGCAGCUUCCUCAAUCAACUGCGUUGAUCGGCUAGAUAAUAAGUUUUUAUAAAAGAAACAUGUCUUUAUGGGACCCAUAACAUUGAAGCAAUACAAAAGUUAGAAAUGAGAGUCAAAUCUGACAAUCGUUAUCUACACACGAAACGCCCCUUAUUAAAUGAUACUUGAUCGUGACGUCAUGAUUAAGUUUAAUGCGUUUUAUUUGCAUUGCAUUUACAAAAAGAGGAGCUUUCGAGUUUCGAGGAUUAUGUUUUUAAAAUACGUGUAUAUUACGUAGGUUUGUUUGUAUUGAUUUUUUGAUUCUAGAAAUAAUAGUUGUAUAACCUUAAUAUGUAUGUAGGUAAGUACUAAGUACAUAAAAGGUACCGAAAUAGGUCAGAAGAGCAGUAAAUUCAAUAUUACUAUACAGUAUAUCCAAAAAGAGCGCUAUGAUAAGUAAAAGUUCCUUUUUAGGGUUCAGUACCCAAAGGGUAAAACGGGAGCCUAUUACUAAGACUCCGCUGUCAGUACGUCUAUCCGUCUGUCACCAGGCUGUAUCUCGUAAACCGUGAUAGUUAGUUGAUAUUUUCACAGUUGCCGCAAUAACAACAAAUACUAAAAACUACGGUACCCUAGAUGGGCGAGUCCGGCUCGCAUUUGUCUGGUAUUAUUUAAAUAUAGGAGGCAAAUGAGGAAAGCCCAUGAACAGAUGUCGUACCUAUCAUAGGAUAAGUAGAUAUAUAUGUACAAAGAAACAGCGGUAUGUUAAGUAGAUUUUUUUAUAUAGUAGGCAAACGAGCAGAGCCCAUGAACAGAGGUCAUACUCUUAUCAUAGAAUCGAUCAUCGAUCGAUCGAUCAUCGAUCAUAAGUAGAAUCGAUUUUUUUUAAGUAGGAGCUAAACGAGCAGAACUCAUGAACAGAGUUCGUAUCAUAAGAUUUGUAGAUAUGUACAUAGAAAUGGCGCUAUGUUAAGUAGAAGUAUUUUUUUAAAUAUAGGAGGCAAAUGAGCAGAGCCCAUGAACAGAGGUUGUAUCAUAGGAUAAGUAGAUAUGUACAAAGAAAUGGCACUAUGUUAAGUAGUUUUUUUUUUUUUUAAUAUAUGAGGCAAACGAGCAGUGCCCACGAACAGAGCUCGUAUCAGAAGAUUUAUAGAGAUGUACAAAGGAAUGGCGUUAUGUUAAGUAGAAGUAUUUUUUUUUAAAUAUAGGAGGCAAACGAGCAGAACCCAUGAACAGAGCUCAUAUCAUAAGAUUUGUAGAGAUGUACAAAGGAAUGGCGUUAUGUUAAGUAGAAGUAUUUUUUUAAAUACAGGAGGCAAACGAGCAGAGCCCAUGAACAGAGGUCGUAUCUUAAGAUUUGUAGAUAUGUACAUAGAAAUGGCGCUAUGUUAAGUAGAAGUAUUUUUUUAAAUAUAGGAGGCAAAUGAGCAGAGCCCAUGAACAGAGGUUGUAUCAUAGGAUAAGUAGAUAUGUACAAAGAAAUGGCACUAUGUUAAGUAGUUUUUUUUUUUUUUAAUAUAUGAGGCAAACGAGCAGUGCCCACGAACAGAGCUCGUAUCAGAAGAUUUAUAGAGAUGUACAAAGGAAUGGCGUUAUGUUAAGUAGAAGUAUUUUUUUUUAAAUAUAGGAGGCAAACGAGCAGAACCCAUGAACAGAGCUCAUAUCAUAAGAUUUGUAGAGAUGUACAAAGGAAUGGCGUUAUGUUAAGUAGAAGUAUUUUUUUAAAUACAGGAGGCAAACGAGCAGAGCCCAUGAACAGAGGUCGUAUCAUAAGAUUUGUAGAUAUGUACAUAGAAAUGGCGCUAUGUUAAGUAGAAGUAUUUUUUUAAAUAUAGGAGGCAAAUGAGCAGAGCCCAUGAACAGAGGUUGUAUCAUAGGAUAAGUAGAUAUGUACAAAGAAAUGGCACUAUGUUAAGUAGUUUUUUUUUUUUUUAAUAUAUGAGGCAAACGAGCAGUGCCCACGAACAGAGCUCGUAUCAGAAGAUUUAUAGAGAUGUACAAAGGAAUGGCGUUAUGUUAAGUAGAAGUAUUUUUUUUUAAAUAUAGGAGGCAAACGAGCAGAACCCAUGAACAGAGCUCAUAUCAUAAGAUUUGUAGAGAUGUACAAAGGAAUGGCGUUAUGUUAAGUAGAAGUAUUUUUUUAAAUACAGGAGGCAAACGAGCAGAGCCCAUGAACAGAGGUCGUAUCUUAAGAUUUGUAGAUAUGUACAUAGAAAUGGCGCUAUGUUAAGUAGAAGUAUUUUUUUAAAUAUAGGAGGCAAAUGAGCAGAGCCCAUGAACAGAGGUUGUAUCAUAGGAUAAGUAGAUAUGUACAAAGAAAUGGCACUAUGUUAAGUAGAAUUUAUUUUUUUUAAUAUAGGAGGCAAACGAGCAGAGCCCACGAACAGAGCUCGUAUCAGAAGAUUUAUAGAGAUGUACAAAGGAAUGGCGUUAUGUUAAGUAGAAGUAUUUUUUUUAAUAUAGGAGGCAAACGAGCAGAACCCAUGAACAGAGCUCAUAUCAUAAGAUUUGUAGAGAUGUACAAAGGAAUGGCGUUAUGUUAAGUAGAAGUAUUUUUUUAAAUACAGGAGGCAAACGAGCAGAGCCUAUGAACAGAGGUCGUAUCAUAAGAUUUGUAGAUAUGUACAUAGAAAUGGCGCUAUGUUAAGUAGAAGUAUAUUUUUAAAUAUAGGAGGCAAAUGAGCAGAGCCCAUGAACAGAGGUUGUAUCAUAGGAUAAGUAGAUAUGUACAAAGAAAUGGCACUAUGUUAAGUAGAUUUUUUUUUUUAAUAUAUGAGGCAAACGAGCAGUGCCCACGAACAGAGCUCGUAUCAGAAGAUUUAUAGAGAUGUACAAAGGAAUGGCGUUAUGUUAAGUAGAAGUAUUUUUUUUUAAAUAUAGGAGGCAAACGAGCAGAACCCAUGAACAGAGCUCAUAUCAUAAGAUUUGUAGAGAUGUACAAAGGAAUGGCGUUAUGUUAAGUAGAAGUAUUUUUUAAAAUACAGGAGGCAAACGAGCAGAGCCCAUGAACAGAGGUCGUAUCUUAAGAUUUGUAGAUAUGUACAUAGAAAUGGCGCUAUGUUAAGUAGAAGUAUUUUUUUAAAUAUAGGAGGCAUAAGAUCAGAGCCCAUGAACAGAGCUCGUAUCAGAAGAUUUAUAGAGAUGUACAAAGGAAUGGCGUUAUGUUAAGUAGAAGUAUUUUUUUAAAUAUAGGAGGCAAACGAGCAGAACCCAUGAACAGAGCUCAUAUCAUAAGAUUUGUAGAGAUGUACAAAGGAAUGUAUGACCUAUUAUUCACCUCGUAAAUUAUUUGCAGGUGACUAAAUAAACACCCUGUAUAUAUUUGUUGUUGUAUCAACAAAUCAAGCAUUUACAUUAAAAAAGUGAGUGACAUUUAAUUAAGUGGAACUGCUGAUGAAGACCAGACGGAACACCUCAACUACGCGUAUUUCACGUUUGGCGAUAUCUUCUUCGUUGAGAUUGUUCUGCAAGUUAUUUUUUAAGCUUCAUUUUAGUCAAGAUCUAUUUCUGAUAAUGGAUCCCAGGAAUAAUGGAUGAAACUCUUCAAAUAUUUUACAUAUAGUAUAUUUUUAUAUUUGCAUUUAAACAGUGCUAUUUGGUGAAACGUGGUCAUGAAGAUUAGAAUAUAACUUCUCCUUGACAAGUAUUUUACGAGUUAGGGCUUAGGUAUAUUAUAUGGGCUUACCUAUGGGCUAUUGUUUUUCAUUCAAUAGUUUACAUAUGUGAAAGAGAAAGUAUAACAAUAUGCUUGUUAGACUAAAAUAGCUUUAGUUUUGUUAAUUUCAAAAACUUAGUAGGUGAUAAUUAUAACAUAGGUAUAGAAUCUUCAAAAAUAAAACAGUAGAUACAAAGCAGGUGUUAUUGGCCCGUCUUUAUAUAUAGAAAAUCGAUGGCAUGAUUCCUAGGAACAGAUCUUCGUAUGUGUUAUAGUUUCAAACUUUCCCAUACUGAACGAUCUAAAUAGGCCACCAUGUAUACCCUACGGAACAUUUUAUUUCGUUGGAUGAAUUUAGGGUGUAGGGGAGAAACUACCCAAUUAUGAGCUACUUACUGAAAACUAUCAUUAAUAGACAAUUGUAAGGAUAUUUAACAUUGCCAAAAUAAGGUUAAAGGUGCCCUCUAGUAGUACUUAGUCGAUAUUGUGAUACAAUGAAUGGUAUUAUAAACAUUUUUCUUUUUUCAUAUACUAUGGACAUUCCUCGAUGGCACCAAGCUGCAACUGGAAAGCGAUGAUCACACGGCAAAUAAAAUCGUGAAGACUGUAGCAGCCACGUCUAAGGAGGAUGAAUGUAUCCACAUUCAAUAUUUUUUAUUUAUUGUUUGUUUGAUAUGUAAAAAUGCACGUCAAUAAGGUAGCAAACUAUUAUUAACAGAGACCGGAAUUAUUGUGGCAUUCUUGAACUGUCAUAGAGAGUUCUCAUUUAUCGACUUCGGGUACACAUAUAUCGAUACAACGUAUAACACAAAAUAUUAAAAAGUUAUAAAGUUAA